GGGGGGAUAGUGGCGAACGGGUGAGUAACACGUGAGUAACCUGCCCUUAACUCUGGGAUAAGCCUGGGAAACUGGGUCUAAUACCGGAUAUGACUCCUCAUCGCAUGGUGGGGGGUGGAAAGCUUUAUUGUGGUUUUGGAUGGACUCGCGGCCUAUCAGCUUGUUGGUGAGGUAAUGGCUCACCAAGGCGACGACGGGUAGCCGGCCUGAGAGGGUGACCGGCCACACUGGGACUGAGACACGGCCCAGACUCCUACGGGAGGCAGCAGUGGGGAAUAUUGCACAAUGGGCGAAAGCCUGAUGCAGCGACGCCGCGUGAGGGAUGACGGCCUUCGGGUUGUAAACCUCUUUCAGUAGGGAAGAAGCGAAAGUGACGGUACCUGCAGAAGAAGCGCCGGCUAACUACGUGCCAGCAGCCGCGGUAAUACGUAGGGCGCAAGCGUUAUCCGGAAUUAUUGGGCGUAAAGAGCUCGUAGGCGGUUUGUCGCGUCUGCCGUGAAAGUCCGGGGCUCAACUCCGGAUCUGCGGUGGGUACGGGCAGACUAGAGUGAUGUAGGGGAGACUGGAAUUCCUGGUGUAGCGGUGAAAUGCGCAGAUAUCAGGAGGAACACCGAUGGCGAAGGCAGGUCUCUGGGCAUUAACUGACGCUGAGGAGCGAAAGCAUGGGGAGCGAACAGGAUUAGAUACCCUGGUAGUCCAUGCCGUAAACGUUGGGCACUAGGUGUGGGGGACAUUCCACGUUUUCCGCGCCGUAGCUAACGCAUUAAGUGCCCCGCCUGGGGAGUACGGCCGCAAGGCUAAAACUCAAAGGAAUUGACGGGGGCCCGCACAAGCGGCGGCGGAGCAUGCGGAUUAAUUCGAUGCAACGCGAAGAACCUUACCAAGGCUUGACAUGGACUGGAAAUACCUGGAAACAGGUGCCCCGCUUGCGGUCGGUUCACAGGUGGUGCAUGGUUGUCGUCAGCUCGUGUCGUGAGAUGUUGGGUUAAGUCCCGCAACGAGCGCAACCCUCGUUCUAUGUUGCCAGCGCGUUAUGGCGGGGACUCAUAGGAGACUGCCGGGGUCAACUCGGAGGAAGGUGGGGACGACGUCAAAUCAUCAUGCCCCUUAUGUCUUGGGCUUCACGCAUGCUACAAUGGCCGGUACAAAGGGUUGCGAUACUGUGAGGUGGAGCUAAUCCCAAAAAGCCGGUCUCAGUUCGGAUUGGGGUCUGCAACUCGACCCCAUGAAGUCGGAGUCGCUAGUAAUCGCAGAUCAGCAACGCUGCGGUGAAUACGUUCCCGGGCCUUGUACACACCGCCCGUCAAGUCACGAAAGUUGGUAACACCCGAAGCC
rnacentral:rRNA from 1 species